CGCCCUCCGGAGACGCAGCCCGGUAGUCUUUAUGCUCCGCCGCCGCCGCCGCCGCCGCCUCUCCCCCGGAGCCGACGGCCUUUUUCCCUAGUCCGCGCUCCGCGGUCAUUCCUCGGACGUGCUCCGCGGCCUUCGCCUACGGCCAUGCCUCAAGCGGCCUUGUCGAAGCGCGGUCCCUGCAGUCCCCAAGGCUGUCAGUCCUGGUCCCGGCCCCACCCACAGGCUUUUUUUUGAUCUAGCACACCCUGCUUGGGUUCCCACCCUAGGCUCUGGGCGACUCGGCCUCACCCCAUCCACUGGACAUUUUCCCUUGUUUCCCCAUAUUCGCUUAUUUCAGGCCUUCGACUUUUUUUUUUUUUUUUUUUCCUGGCCGAAGCUUCCAUAAGGAAUGCUAGAACAUUUUCUCGGAAAGCGAGCCCUGAUGCUGGACUGCAAGUAAGUUUCAGAGGAUUCUACAAAGCUGCCAAUUAAUCCUUCAAUCUCCCCAGACAUCACUGAGUGGAAGCUGACUGUGCCCUGUAUGCUGACUUAGAGAAUCCACGGCGUAAUGAGUGUUUGAUGCUACUCAACUUUGGGGGCAGCUAGUUACCCAGCCGUCCUGUCAAGCGGGUAAUCCCCACCUGUCUCAACUGAAGUCUCACACAGCCUCCUAGUCCCCAUUCUCACCUUGAUCAGGAUGUUAUAAACAGCUUUCAUUGUGCCUUGUGUCUAAACAGCGACUUUAAAAGGCUGAAAACACAAUUUACCUUGUUUCUGACAUAGACAACUCCCUCAUAGAAACCCACCCCAUUGCUCUUCAUAAACACACAUAUGGAAACCAACCCUGAAUCCUUAAACCCAGCACUCAGGAAGCAGAGGCUCUUCCUGCUCUGUGAAUUCAAGGCCAGCCUGGUCUACAAAGCUAUACCAGGGCAGCCAAGGCUACACAGAGAAUCCCUGACUCCAAGAGGAAAAAAAAAACAAAAACCUUGAAAAAUCUUUCAACAUACAUUUUUGUUUUGAGGGAGUUUCACUGUGUGCCCUUGGCUGGCCUGCAUUUCUAGAUGUAGAUCAGGUUGUUUUUGAAACCACCCGCCUCUGCUGGGAUUAUGGGCGUGUGUGACCGUGCCCAGCUAGCAAACAUCUCCUUAACUAGAAUUCAGUGAGUUUUUCUUCUGAGUAAGCCACCGCUGCCGUGAGAGAAUGCCCUCCGUGGCUCGGAUGUUCGAACACUUGGCCUCUAGUUGUUGGAACUACUUGGGAACAACUGGGUGCGAUCUUGGAGGAGGAGGUGUGGCUGGGGGCAGGCUUUGAGGUUUCAAAGGACUCCCAUUUCCAGCGUCUGUCUCUACCUUGUGGUGGUGUGACCUCUCAGCACUGCCCCAGUGCCAGGCCUGCCUCUGUGCUCCCCGCCAGGACAGUCAGGGACUCCAACUCUCUGAAACUGUAAGCCCAAAAUAAAUAUCUUCUCUUGUAA